GUCGGAAUAUUACUAAUUUUGUAAUGCUUUGUCUAGACUUGUCUAGAUCAAAUUUUGUUCAUCGGGGAAUAGGUCCACUAACGUUGUCCUUCCAAAAACGUAAACCUUAAACUCUGAGCAAGUAAAGUAUGUUGGGUUAUUGCUUAUUUAGACUCACAAACUCUUAAAUUUAACCCAUUAAGCUCCAGUGCUCUUCCCUUGAUGAGUAAAAUGGUCUGGCAUUAGACAGAGUAAAAUACUCUGGUGUUAGACAGAGUAAUUAAAAUACUAAAGUAGGGUGCAUCAGGGUGUAUCGCCACUCAAUGGGUUAACUAGACACAUGGGCAGAUAGGCCAGUUAACCCAUUAUAAGCGCCAAUGCUCUCCCCUUGACGAGUAAAAUUGUCUGGCGUUAGACAGAGUAAAAUACUAAAGUAGGGUGCAUCGCCACUCAAUGGGUUAAUUGGCUUUGCAAGAAUGCCUAAGAGACAUAGAAGAUGCACAGUAGAAAACACAAUUCCUACAAAGGCAAUUCUCUAAGUUUAAUUACGGGCCAAAUAUUUGAAAACCAACCCAUCAUCCCUUGCAUGCUCAGAGUUUAAGGCUUAAAGGCCCGUUUACACGGGUAAUUUUUGCUGCAAUUUUCUCCUUUUGGAGGAUGUGAAGGAGUAGAUUACUUAAUGACCUUGUUAUGAAAUUUCAUAACCUGGUACAUU